GCCGGGGUGGCGGAAUUGGCAGACGCAGCGGACUUAAAAUCCGCCGGACACUUAGUCCUUGUGGGUUCGAGUCCCACCCCCGGCACCA
rnacentral:tRNA from 2 species